rnacentral:lncRNA from 1 species
GGCUUCGCGUGAGGCGUUGGGUCUGUGCACGACAGAGAACACCUCUUGCUCUCGCUCUUUGGCCGCUGUGGAUUUGCUAGGGUUCCUACAACGCAUAGCAGCCUGUCUCCAAUCGUCGAAGGUGCAAUUAUCAUUUCGUUCAAAAAGCAGUCAGCAUAGUUCGACGCCAUCAGAAUGACUUACUGGAGAGUAGCCGGCCUCACUUACCUACAGUUCUCAUCAAUAGCUGCAAGAGCCGUGAGGAACUCUUUGAAGAAGGACGCACAUCAAAUGGCAUCAGCGGCUUCCUUGGAGUCCACUAUUAAAAUGGCAACAUGGAAGGAUGGAAAACCUAUCAGUAAAAAAAGAGACGUGAAGCCUGGGUUGGUCAAGACAGGACAGUAGUAACGAACGAAUAAACGUGUGAUG